GGCCUGGUGGUCUAGUGGUAUGAUUCUCGCUUAGGGUAAACCCUGAGUUGCAAUUUGCUGUCUGCGAGAGGUCCCGGGUUCGAGUCCCGGCUAGGCCC